rnacentral:lncRNA from 1 species
AACCUGCCGGCUCCCAUCCCACAACGUAGAGCUACUUCCGGUGGGGCUCCGUCACUCAAAUGGAGAAGAACCAGCACCAACAUGGGAGGCUUCCCAUGUUACAUAAGGAUCAACAGGAGAAGCCGGGCAGCAGAGGCUCGUGUGAUAAGAGAGGCAGGAAGCAAGAGCUUCCAUGGGAAUGGCGUGGUUUCAUCUCCUGGCUUCCGGAGUAUCCCUAUGGGGCACGUAUUCUAGGAACUCUACUGAAUCCAGUCUCUGGAUUUCAAAUACCAUGGAAUGGAGAUGACUGAGAGAAGAAGGUAUAGGAAAUAAGAGUUCAAAUAUAUUCAGUCCUUAUGUUCAGUCAUAAAAAUACUGAGACUUUUGAGACUGUGCUGAUAUAUACAUGAUAAACAUGAAAACAAUACCAUUUGCUCAUUUGACAACAUAUGGUAGCUGACCCACUUCUGCCCAGCCUUGUAAUUGGGUUGUGUAUUAUUAUCUGCAGUAGCUCCUAAAUGUUUCAGAUUUCUUGAGAAUAACAAGCAAUGAACCCAAAAGGCCUGAGGCCCAUUGAAAUUAGUGCAAAUGCUCUUCUGAGCCAUAACAACACUUUCAGAAACUUGCAAAUAUAACAUAAUCUUCCCUUAAGCACUGCAGUGAAAAGUUAGUGUUGAUCCUUUCUUUUAUGUUCUUCAAAUAAUUGCUUAAUGCUUGCUCUUAUUACAUGCAGCUUGCUAGGAGAGAACAUGAUAAAGAUCAUUUAUCACUCCUGUCAAUAACACAAAAAAAUUCUUCAGCAGACAAUAAAACAUGAAUACAUAGCUUGCAAUGCAGGUAGUGGUUUAUGUGAAUAAUUUUACAGAAUGGCAGUCCAAUCAAACUGCCUUUCAAACCCUUGAGAUAAAUCAGACAAAAAGGGAAACAUUUUUAUGAUUAUAAUAAUCCUCAUUUGGUAACAUUCUAUAAAAACCCAGAGGCUGACAAACAUAGAUUUUCAUUGUAAAGCUUUCUGCUGAAUUUUUAAAAUGGUCGCGACCAAAGCACAAUUGUUUUCAAGCACUUUACAUACAAACCAGCACAUAAGUGGUUGUGUGUUUGCAUAUGCUCUUACCAGUGUAAAGGUGAUAGCAGAAAAAUAGGAAUAAAAUCUACUCCACAGAACUUCACACAGAAAAUAUAACUAUUUCAUUCAUCUAUAGUAGUUUG